UUGGGAGAAAGGCUUGCUCGCCCGAAAGGAUCGGCCCGCGUCUCGAUUAGCUAGUUGGUGGGGUAAUGGCCUACCAAGGCGACGAUCAGUAGCUGGUCUGAGAGGAUGAUCAGCCACACUGGGACUGAGACACGGCCCAGACUCCUACGGGAGGCAGCAGUGGGGAAUAUUGGACAAUGGGCGCAAGCCUGAUCCAGCCAUGCCGCGUGAGUCAUGAAGGCCUUAGGGUUGUAAAGCUCUUUUGUCCGGGACGAUAAUGACGGUACCGGAAAGAAUAAGCCCCGGCUAACUUCGGUGCCAGCAGCCGCGGUAAUACGAACGGGGGCUAGCGUUGCUCGGAAUCCACUGGGCGUAAAGGGCGCGUAGGCGGCCAUUUCAAUUCGGGGGGUGAAAGCCUGUGGCUCAACCACAAAAUUGCUUCCCAUACUGUUUUGGCUUGAAGUUUGGUAAAGGUUCGUCGGAACUGGCCAGUGUAAAAGGCGAAUUUCCUAAUAUUCCCCCACGAACCCCACUGGCGAAAGGGGGGCCACCUGGGACCAACACUGACUCUUGAGGGGCCAAAGCCGGGGCGAGCCAAACCGGUUUAAAUCCCCUUGGAAACCCCCGCCCCGAAACCGAAUGAAUCUUACCUGUUUGGGGGGCUUGCCCCCCCAAAACGCCCACCUACCGCUUUUAAACUUUCCCCUCGGGGAAUACCGUCCAAA
rnacentral:rRNA from 1 species